rnacentral:rRNA from 1 species
AGAGUUUGAUCCUGGCUCAGGAUGAACGCUAGCUACAGGCUUAACACAUGCAAGUCGAGGGGCAGCGGGUUGAAAGCUUGCUUUCAAUGCCGGCGACCGGCGCACGGGUGCGUAACGCGUAUCAAACCUGCCUCAUACUCGGGGAUAGCCUUGCGAAAGUAAGAUUAAUACCCGAUGUUGUUGCUUUCUCGCAUGGGAGAGUAACCAAAGAUUUAUCGGUAUGAGAUGGUGAUGCGUCCGAUUAGGUAGUAGGCGGGGUAACGGCCCACCUAGCCUUCGAUCGGUAGGGGUUCUGAGAGGAAGGUCCCCCACACUGGAACUGAGACACGGUCCAGACUCCUACGGGAGGCAGCAGUGAGGAAUAUUGGUCAAUGGGCGAGAGCCUGAACCAGCCAAGUAGCGUGCAGGAUGACGGCCCUAUGGGUUGUAAACUGCUUUUAUGUGGGGAUAAAGUGAGCUACGUGUAGUUUAUUGCAGGUACCACAUGAAUAAGGACCGGCUAAUUCCGUGCCAGCAGCCGCGGUAAUACGGAAGGUCCAGGCGUUAUCCGGAUUUAUUGGGUUUAAAGGGAGCGUAGGCCGUGGAUUAAGCGUGUUGUGAAAUGUAGACGCUCAACGUCUGAAUUGCAGCGCGAACUGGUUCACUUGAGUAUGCACAACGUAGGCGGAAUUCGUCGUGUAGCGGUGAAAUGCUUAGAUAUGACGAAGAACUCCGAUUGCGAAGGCAGCUGACGGGAGCGCAACUGACGCUUAAGCUCGAAGGUGCGGGUAUCGAACAGGAUUAGAUACCCUGGUAGUCCGCACAGUAAACGAUGGAUGCCCGCUGUUGGUACCUGGUAUCAGCGGCUAAGCGAAAGCAUUAAGCAUCCCACCUGGGGAGUACGCCGGCAACGGUGAAACUCAAAGGAAUUGACGGGGGCCCG